UGGGGAAUAUUGGACAAUGGGCGGAAGCCUGAUCCAGCCAUGCCGCGUGUGUGAAGAAGGCCUUUUGGUUGUAAAGCACUUUAAGCGAGGAGGAGGCUACUUGGAUUAAUACUCUAGGAUAGUGGACGUUAAUCGCAGAAUAAGCACCGGCUAACUCUGUGCCAGCAGCCGCGGUAAUACGGAGGGUGCGAGCGUUAAUCGGAUUUACUGGGCGUAAAGCGUGCGUAGGCGGCUUCUUAAGUCGGAUGUGAAAUCCCUGAGCUUAACUUAGGAAUUGCAUUCGAUACUGGGAAGCUAGAGUAUGGGAGAGGAUGGUAGAAUUCCAGGUGUAGCGGUGAAAUGCGUAGAGAUCUGGAGGAAUACCGAUGGCGAAGGCAGCCAUCUGGCCUAAUACUGACGCUGAGGUACGAAAGCAUGGGGAGCAAACAGG
rnacentral:rRNA from 1 species